rnacentral:rRNA from 1 species
CCUACGGGUGGUUGCAGUGGGGAAUAUUGGACAAUGGGCGAAAGCCUGAUCCAGCCAUGCCGCGUGUGUGAAGAAGGCCUUCGGGUUGUAAAGCACUUUCAGUGGGGAAGAAAGCCUUGGGGCUAAUACCCUCGAGGAAGGACAUCACCCACAGAAGAAGCACCGGCUAACUCCGUGCCAGCAGCCGCGGUAAUACGGAGGGUGCGAGCGUUAAUCGGAAUUACUGGGCGUAAAGCGCGCGUAGGCGGUCUGAUAAGCCGGUUGUGAAAGCCCCGGGCUCAACCUGGGAACGGCAUCCGGAACUGUCAGGCUAGAGUGCAGGAGAGGAAGGUAGAAUUCCCGGUGUAGCGGUGAAAUGCGUAGAGAUCGGGAGGAAUACCAGUGGCGAAGGCGGCCUUCUGGACUGACACUGACGCUGAGGUGCGAAAGCGUGGGUAGCAAACAGGAUUAGAUACCCGGGUAGUC